rnacentral:rRNA from 1 species
UACGUAGGCAGCGAGCGUUGUUCGGAAUUACUGGGCGUAAAGAGUGUGUAGGCGGUGCUCUAAGUUCGGUGUGAAAUCUCCUGGCUUAACUGGGAGGGUGCGCCGAAAACUGGAGUGCUCGAGCGUGGGAGAGGAAAGCGGAAUUCCUGGUGUAGCGGUGAAAUGCGUAGAUAUCAGGAGGAACACCGAUGGCGAAGGCAGGUCUCUGGGCCACUACUGACGCUGAGAAGCGAAAGCGUGGGGAGCGAACAGG